rnacentral:rRNA from 1 species
AUGGCCGGAAGGAAGGGCGGUGACAGGAAGAAGGCGGUGACCCGCUCCGUCAAGGCCGGGCUCCAGUUCCCCGUAGGCCGCAUCGGGCGUUACCUCAAGAAGGGCCGCUACGCCCAGCGCGUCGGCUCCGGCGCCCCCGUCUACCUUGCCGCCGUCCUCGAGUACCUGGCCGCCGAGGUCCUGGAGCUUGCCGGCAACGCGGCCAAGGACAACAAGAAGACCCGCAUCAUCCCGCGCCACCUGCUUCUCGCCGUCCGCAACGACCAGGAGCUCGGCAAGCUGCUCGCCGGCGUGACCAUCGCCCACGGCGGCGUCAUCCCCAACAUCAACUCUGUGCUGCUCCCCAAGAAGUCCCCGGCCGCCGCCGAGAAGGAGGCCAAGUCGCCCAAGAAGAAGACGGCCACCAAGUCCCCCAAGAAGAAGGUCGCUGCCACCAAGGAAUAG